GUUCAAUGCAUUGGGGUUAUCUCCAGCUCUUCGGCCACUGCGUCGUGUAUCUGCACAAGCUGGCUUGUUUUUUAAAAUAUUUAGCUUUUAAAUUAUGUCUUAAUAGGUGGUUUUUGUUGGGGUGAAUUUUCCCCCCUCUGCAUUCCAGGUGCCCCUAUUGCUGAGUGGGCUUACCAGAGUUUCCCCUCUUUACUUUGGGGGAAGGGGCUGUUGCUUGGUGGCGGAGCAUCUCCUUGGAGGCGAAAGGUCGUAGGUUCAGUCCCUGGCACCUCCAGUUGAAAAGGCCACCAUUUAAAACGGUUCACGUGGUAAAUUUAUUUAUUCGAUUUUUAUCCCGCAGGGAGAGCUGCUGCCAGCCUGAGUAGACAAUACUGACCCUGCUGCACCAAUGGUCUGAUUCUGAACAAGGUAGCUUUGUAUGUUUGUGUAUUUAGACGAAAUGGACUGACCUUCCCUGUGGGUUCGCAGCUCGUUCUGCCCAAUCAGAGCUGAAAAAAUGGCUGCCACAGAGCCAUCUGAGGGGUUGGUGACCUUUGAGGAUGUGGCCGUGUUCUUCACUGAGGGGCAGUGGGCCAUGCUGGAUCCCGCCCAGCGGUCCCUGUAUGUGGAAGUCAUGCUGGAGACCUAUGGGAACAUGAUGGCUGUGGG